rnacentral:rRNA from 1 species
CGCGUGGGAACCUACCUAGAGGUGCGGAAUAGCCCAGGGAAACUUGGAGUAAUACCGCAUAAGCCCGCAAGGGGAAAGAUUUAUCGCCUUUAGAUGGGCCCGCGUCUGAUUAGCUAGUUGGUGAGGUAAUGGCUCACCAAGGCGACGAUCAGUAGCUGGUUUGAGAGAAUGACCAGCCACACUGGGACUGAGACACGGCCCAGACUCCUACGGGAGGCAGCAGUGGGGAAUCUUGGACAAUGGGGGCAACCCUGAUCCAGCGACGCCGCGUGGGUGACGAAGGCCUUCGGGUUGUAAAGCCCUUUUCUCGGGGAAGAUGAUGACGGUACCCGAGGAAUAAGCACCGGCUAACUCCGUG